CUUUGUUUGGAAUCUUUUUUAACGGACUGCUUCCAGAAUUUCCCUUUUUUAAUGUCAUCCAUCUUUUUAUUUGUACUUUGAACAUGCAGCAUCAUAUCAGAAUCCUCAAGGGGCACAGAACGAGAAUGAUCCAAAUAAUACAACUAUUUUUGUCGGCAAUUUGGAUCCUAAUGUUACGGAUGACCAUUUGAGACAAGUUUUUGGGCAGUAUGGAGAGUUGGUUCACGUGAAGAUUCCAGCUGGCAAAAGAUGUGGAUUUGUUCAAUUUGCCGACAGGAGCUGCGCAGAAGAGGCUCUGAUAUAU